GUAGCUGUGGCUGAGCUCACUGGGAGGCACAGCCUGAAAUACAUGAGGAGCAGAAAUAAAACAUAAAAUAAUACCCUGCAGAGUCAGGAAAAAAGGCACUAAUUAUCACCAUGGAGAGGCCUGGCUGUGUUUAAACUUUGAAAAAACAAAAAAAACCUUGGAACUUUUUGGUAUUUGGAAAAGGAGCUAAUUUUCAUCCAGGUGAAAAUUAAAUCACACUUCUUUAUCUUUCCUGACAUUUUGCUAAAAGCUACUUGACAGUGAAACAGGAUAAGAAGGGAAUAAUGAUGGAUAAAUGUUCAGGAUUUCCAUUCAGAAUAAUCCUGUAAAUUGUCU